ACGCGGCGGCGGCGCUCGGCGGGGCCCGGCCCGGCCCCGGCGGCCUCGCACUCACCCGCUCCGCGGCCUCCUCCGGGUCCUCCAGCGCCAACAAUGAGCGGCCCCUUCCGGCCGCCCUUCUACGCCCGGCAGGAAGCUCUCUAUGGUACUUCCGGCGAGGGCACCGGAAGGAGCCGGCUCUUCCUCCCGGCGUGGGCACCGGAAGGAGCCGGCUCUUCCUCCCGGCGUGCUUCGCGCGCGCGGCUCUGCUCCCUUCAGCCGGGGUCUCCCACGGGGCUGUGUGGGGGAAUGAGCGCUGGCGUCACGGUGGUGACGUUACACCGCUCAGACACCAGCCCACGAGCAGCUACCGCCUUUCCCCAUGGGGUCSUGCCCUGGGGUGGGGGCACCAGGACUGCAACUCUGCCCCCCACAGGGAGCCCUGCCCCCAGCCUGGGGGGUCCCUGCCCGGGUCCCCCCUCCCCAGGGAGGCAGGAGACCCCCCCACAGCUCUCUCGGGGGAAGGAAGGGGGGGGGUGUCCCUACCUGCACCCCCCCCCCAGCUCAUCAACACAGCCUUUCCAGAUCACUGCGCUUGGUCACGCCAGGUUUAUCCCAAUUUUGACCCCCCCCCCCCCCGGGAAGAAACCACACAAGCUGCCACCAAACCAGGCUUUAUUUAUGGUACAGGGGCUACGGACAGCUACAAAGACAGGAACCAGUCCAAAACACCCRGGCUCGGGCAGGGCCAGGCGCUGCCCCGCGUCCCAGCGCUCCUCUGCUCCGCAGCUGCCGCAGCAGCACCGAGGCGCCUACUUGGACCUCUGCCUCAUCUUCCUUCUCUUGCGCUUCAGCCUGAGAAAGAAAGCGUUGCUCACACACCGCGACAGCCCCGGGGCUCGCUGCCCUUGCGCUGCCGAGGCCAUGCUCGGAGCAAGGGAAGAGCACAGCUGCAGGGGGGUCGCCCAGAGACACCGCUCCGGCUGGGCUGCGCCCCCCGGGCCGAAACUUCUGCAGGAGUCAGGACAUUUUAAGCCUUUCGUGUGUCAAGAGAUUCACACCCAGGCGGCAGCUCCCCCCGAUACUGCUGGCAGCGAGGGGGGUCCUCGACCAGCGCUCCCAGGAGGUAAGAUGGGUUCAAAGCGGAAGAGUGAACGGGGGCUCAGCCCCGGCGAGGGAGGCCGCGUCCCCACGUACCUGCGCAUACGCUUCUUUCGCCACUAG
rnacentral:lncRNA from 1 species